UACGAAGGGGGCUAGCGUUGCUCGGAAUUACUGGGCGUAAAGCGCACGUAGGCGGAUUUGUAAGUCAGGGGUGAAAUCCCGGGGCUCAACCUCGGAACUGCCUUUGAUACUGCAAAUCUCGAGACCGGGAGAGGUGAGUGGAAUUCCCAGUGUAGCGGUGAAAUGCGUAGAUAUUGGGAGGAACACCAGUGGCGAAGGCGGCUCACUGGACCGGUACUGACGCUGAGGCGCGAAAGCGUGGGGAGCAAACGGG
rnacentral:rRNA from 1 species